GACGAACGCUGGCGGCGUGCUUAACACAUGCAAGUCGAACGGAAAGGCCCUGCUUUUGUGGGGUGCUCGAGUGGCGAACGGGUGAGUAACACGUGAGUAACCUGCCCUUGACUUUGGGAUAACUUCAGGAAACUGGGGCUAAUACCGGAUAGGAGCUCCUGCUGCGUGGUGGGGGUUGGAAAGUUGCGGCGGUGGGGGCUGGACUCGCGGCUUACGAGCUUGUUGGUGGGGUAGGUGCGGACCAAGGCUUUGACGGGUAGCCGGCCUGGGAGGGUGACCGGCGACAUUGGGACUGAGAGAGGCAGCAGAAUGGAACGUGAGGCAGCAGGGGGGAAUAUUGCGCAAUGGGCGGGAGCCUGAUGCAGCAGCGCUGCGUGCGGGAUGACGGCCUUUGGGGUGUAAACCGCUGUCGCCUGUGACGAAGCGUGAGUGACGGUAAUGGGUAAAGAAGCACCGGCUAACUACGUG
rnacentral:rRNA from 1 species